AUUUCUUGUCAACUACCUGAAAUAAAACUAUUUUUUAAUUUUGUUUUAGUUCAUGUUUCUUUAAUUUCAGUGUUUUUAUGAUUCUUUUGGCUGUCGAUGCUGCAGAGAGAGCACUUCUGACAUCGGGUCUGACAGCAUUAUAAGAACAGAAAUGUGUUAUUGCUUUUUUGUAACUUUUCUUCAAUAAUGCAUAAUUCUAGAGCAAUACGCUGGACUCAAACUCUUUAUGGAUGCAUUACAGGAAUAACUCACCCAAAAACAAUCAUUCACCCUCGGGUUGUUUCAGUGCACGAUUAGGUAAGGAUCUGCUCACUAUUAUUAGUCACAUGGACUUUUAUGGCACUAUUCUUUGUUCCGAAGUAAGUUUGGAUCGUGAGGUGAACCAUCCCUUUAAGUAAAUCUGUUCCUGGAUGAUCAGCUGAUCUCCGACUAACAGGGCUUCAGUCCUUCAGACUAAACCACUGUGCAAUUAAGUGUCUUUGUAAAGUCAUUUCAGCUGAUUUCACACCUUUACGAUGCAGUGAUGGGAGCGUAUUAUUUGCUUUCUUCAUACACCUGUUAUUCGCAAUGAUUCAUCAGUGCACUAAAAAAGAUUGUAUUCUAUUUUUUAAGUUUGUCUUCAUAAUUUUGUGCUGCCUCUAAAACGAUCUUCAAAGCCAUCUACUUGUUAACAUCAUACUGGUUUUAAAAAUGUUAUUUUAAUUUUAUGAUUUUGUGCUCAUUCUGUAACAACUUUACAGCUGUCAGCUUGAAAAA